ACCAGGCUCACUCAAUACAACGGACCAACUCAUCAAGGAUCUUAAAAACAUUGACAUAGUUUUUCAUAUAGGAGACAUUACGUAUGCCAAUGGAUAUAUAUCACAAUGGGACCAAUUUACUGCACAAGUGGAACCUAUUGCAUCAACUGUACCCUAUAUGAUUGCAAGGUUCGUGUCCUCAACAAUGUUCUGUUUUAUUAAGCUUCACCUGUUACUUUUCAUUUAUUUCCUUUUCUAUGAAAUAUGAACUCAUUGCAGUGGGAACCUAUUGCAUCAACUGUACCUUAUAUGAUUGCAAGGUUCGUGUCCUCAACAAUGUUCUGUUUUAUUAAGCUUCACCUGUUACUUUUCAUUUAUUUCCUUUUCUAUGAAAUAUGAACUCAUUGCAGUGGUAAUCAUGAGCGUGACUGCCCUGGAACUGGCUCCUUCUAUGAGGGUAAUGAUUCUGGUGGAGAAUGUGGAGUGCUAGCU
rnacentral:lncRNA from 1 species